UUUGCUGAGUCUACCCCAGGAGACAAAAUCAAGACAUGGAGCAAGUGAGACGAAGAGCUAAUCUUUGGGUACGGUUACUAAAGGCAACACGAGCACAGGAGCGAGGAAGAGGUGCUGGCUGUUUUAAUGAUAUGUCUGGUAGGACUGACCUAGUCCUUCCUGGGUGUUUAUUCUAUUUUUUGUCUGUUCAGGAAUAAGCAGCCAGCAAACUGGAGGCUAAUAAUGAUGAUGAUGGUGACAAUAGCAAGAAUCUUCUACUACUUAUGAUAAUAAUGGCGAACAUUGAGGUCCCACUAUGUGUCAUGCACUAUUCUAAGUAUUUUGUAUAUUAACUUAUUUAAUCCUCAUGACAACCCAAUGAUAGGUACAAGAAGAGACUGAAGUUGGGAAAAUCAAUUCAGAAGUUAUUGUGGGAUGUGGGGAAACACGAUGACAUAAUGUUAUUCACUGAUUUUACGGAGUGGAAACCGACACGGAGAAGUGACGUUGAUUCUACUGCUGUGAAGUGGCAGAGCCCGCUGGGAACCACGCUGUGCACUUGGGGCUUGAGAACAGAGCUGGGCCGGGGCACCUUGAUGGGAUCAGAAAAGUGAAGAAUGGGAUUUUAGACCAAACAGGGAAAUUCUUGGUGCCUUCCUUCUGAUGCCCACUGCUCAUUUAACCUUCCAUGAGCUUUUUGGCCGUGUGGUUAGCUUGCCUUCUCACACACCUGGGAGAUUUCUCUUUCUUUUUAUCCAUUCAGCUUUAAUUAACCUGUUUCCACCAUCCUCCUGCCCUAUAGCAAUCCCAGUGAUAUACCGGCAUCUCAUCACUCUUUCCUUCCUUGCCCCUGGCUUGGAUGGGCUCUUCUUUAAUACUGAGGAUCUUAGAGGUCUGUCCUGCACCCUAGAACAUUCAUUUCCUCUUUUCUUCCUUCCAUAAGGCAUGAAACACCUAAAGCAUAGAGAUUUUUUACAGGUAGAUUUUUAAAACAGAUGCACAGAAAGUUACAGUUCAUCGUGAUCCCACAGGGCCAGUGCUUUGAGGACUCACAACAGCUAAGUUGUGUGCCAUCUCCUGACUUACUGUGUGACCUUGGGGCCAGCCACUUGUCCUCUCUGUGUCACAGUCCCCUGCAGUGGGAUCGUAAUAUCUACCGCCAAGCAGUGCUCAGAGCAUGAAUGAAUUAUUAUCCUGAACGCCCUCCGAGCUUCUUGGACAAAGGUGCUAUGUUAAUACACAGUAUCCCUCUUCUUCUUCUUCUCAUUAGUAUUAUUCAAACCCAGAUGGCAUUAUUAUUGUUGUUGAUUGACAGCCCGGCAUAGCCCCAUUCAUGGGUGUCAGAGAGCCAGGCGGUAGUUAACACAAGCAAAAACCAUGUUUAAAACAAAGCCCAAGGAACACUCCAACAGUGUGUGCCUUGGGUUGCUAUUAAAGCCAGAGCAGCUGCGGUGGCAGCACGGAGGGACGGGGCAAGGAAACGCAUCCCAGAGCACAAAGAGGGGAGAGUGGGUCUUGACACUGAUCAUAUAAUCGUGCUGGGCUUUUAUAGACACUGGGAGGCCUCAAACAGAAUAAAUGCUUGAACUUUAUCCACGGUUUACAGGCAGCGGCUGUAAAGGUCUUUGUUGCUGUUGCUGCCAUGUUAAUGACCCAGCUUGGGGCGCUGCUGCCGCUGCCGCCGCUUCUUCCAAAGAAAACAAAUCAAAAAUGUUAUAAAUGGAUCUCAUUCUCUGAAUCUCACCUUCAAACAGAGAGUAAAAAUGUUUUUCUCACAGAAUUUUGAUACUUUUCUGUGAAUGAAAUAUCAGGUGUCCUGAAAAGGAGCUCCUCUGGGGAACCAGUCUUUGCAAGGAUAUGUUAGAACUAUUUCCUGAGAUCUUCAGAAGUGGCAGGAGAUGUGAAAGAAAAUUGCCUACUGCUGCCUGCCCGCCUGGGGCCAGAGCAGGCUUGAUGCAGGGUAGCUGGAGCUCCCAACAGGCAGGAAGCGGGUGCAGAAAGCAGGUGAGUGCGGUGCUGCUACAACAGAAACCUAAACAUAUGGGGGUGCUUUGGGGCAGUGGUGAGCAGAUGCUGGAAGGACCUUGAGGAGAGUGUUAGUAAAAAUCUAUAAAGUGUCUCAAGGAGACUGUUAGCAGAAGCCUGAUGUCCCUCGAGAAGUCUACAUGUCAGGAUUAAAGAAAAGUGAGGAAGAUGUUGCUGGAAACCAGAGAGAAGAGGAUCCAUCACAAAGCAAUGGAAAGCUCAGCAUCACUCUUGCCUGCAGUAAUGUGGAAAACAGAAAAGGUACCUAAUGGGUGAUCUAGCUAAGGAGAUUUCCAGGCGGAGGUGGCCCGGGCUUCUUCCUGUUGCUUUUAUAUUAAAAUUUGAGGGGAAAAGGAUGAGCUCAAGAAAAAAACAUCACUAGCUAUAAAAGAGGCUUAGUUUGCAGAAUGGGAAAAUCCCCAACCUCUGCUGAUAAAAAGCAACAUUAAAAAAGGAAAUGCUCUGGAGAAAAGUAAAAUUUCAUGAAUGGUCGGGAGAACAUGCUGAAAAGAUGACAUUAAGGAUGUGACUAUAAAGUCCUUUGUUAAGAAGUUGGAAAGAUUUAAGGUAAUGCUUAUAGAACUGCUCAGUCAAAACAAAAACAAAAAUAAUAGCAAAAAUCCAGACCUGUGAAGGAUCAUUGGGCUCAAUAGAAGCCCAAGGUAGAGAAUGGCUUAUCAUGAGAAGAUUUGUAGGUUGUGAUUUUUCCUAAUGACACAAACUACAGUAAGACCCAUAGGAGGCUCCCAAAGGUUUUAAGAGAAUUUUAUAAGCGGAAACACUCCUAUCUUGGACUAAAAGAGAUAGAGAAAGUACAAAAUGAAAAAAAAAGAAAAAGAGGACGUUAGCUCCCCAAACUUUUAUAGGCUGAGAAUAGUCUGAGACAUCUACUCAGUUGCACAUGUGGACAAUCCUUUAUGACACCAAGGAUGGAUGGAUGACAGACACCAAGGGAAGAACCAAGAGCCACAGUGAAUAAUUUCCAGGGCUUGAUCCCAAAUCAAGGAACUGACCACAGGUGCCCUGCCAGAUUUCAGAAUUGCUUUGGACCAGUAAUUCCUCUCUGCCUCCUGUUUUUCUCCCUUUUGAAUGAGUGUCUAUAGCAGUGAUCCUGUGCUCAUCCUAUGCCAUUGUAUGUUGGGGGGAGGUGGUGUGUGGGGGUGGGAGACAGAUAAUUU